rnacentral:rRNA from 1 species
GAUGAACGCUGGCGGCGUGCCUAAUACAUGCAAGUCGAGCGAACAGACGAGGCGCUUGCUCCUCUGACGUUAGCGGCGGACGGGUGAGUAACACGUGGAUAACCUACCUAUAAGACUGGGAUAACUUCGGGAAACCGGAGCUAAUACCGGAUAAUAUAUUGAACCGCAUGGUUCAUUAGUGAAAGACGGUUUUGCUGUCACUUAUAGAUGGAUCCGCGCCGCAUUAGCUAGUUGGUAAGGUAACGGCUUACCAAGGCAACGAUGCGUAGCCGACCUGAGAGGGUGAUCGGCCACACUGGAACUGAGACACGGUCCAGACUCCUACGGGAGGCAGCAGUAGGGAAUCUUCCGCAAUGGGCGAAAGCCUGACGGAGCAACGCCGCGUGAGUGAUGAAGGUCUUCGGAUCGUAAAACUCUGUUAUUAGGGAAGAACAAAUGUGUAAGUAACUAUGCACGUCUUGACGGUACCUAAUCAGAAAGCCACGGCUAACUACGUG